AUGUUAUUUACCAGUUGCCUAAUUACGAAAAGUUUCAUAUGACAUUAACCUCAAAAAUGAUCUUUGAAAACAAACAACAACAAAUAACUCAAAGAAAUAACUACAUACUACAUAAUAAUAACUGAUAAUAAUGACUUUUAAUGGUAUAAAGGCUGAUGAAGUUUUAGACAACCAAUACAAGAUUCAGAACUCGGCAUCGCGAUAAACAAGUAAAAUUGUACAUUCAGGAACUCGUUUAAAUAUUAUAGGUUGAUUGAAGAAUAAUCUACAAUUGAUUAGAGCCUAUGAUGAUGCGAAGAUAAUUAAUAUCACCUAACUUUAAGAAACCAGCCUAAAGAAGUUUACAUGCAUCUCAUCUAACCAUUAUAGGUACAUUUUAUCUUCUAGAUCAGUAGUGAUUUUUCAUAAUUUGAAUGAACUCACAGAUAGCAAUGGGGCACUGCACCGAAGCAGUAUUACAAAAUGUGAAAUAAAACUGUAGUACAA
rnacentral:lncRNA from 1 species